rnacentral:rRNA from 1 species
CCUACGGGGGGCAGCAGUGGGGAAUAUUGGACAAUGGGGGGAACCCUGAUCCAGCCAUGCCGCGUGUGUGAAGAAGGCCCUCGGGUUGUAAAGCACUUUCAGUGAGGAAGAACGCCUGGUGGUUAAUACCCAUCAGGAAAGACAUCACUCACAGAAGAAGCACCGGCUAACUCCGUGCCAGCAGCCGCGGUAAUACGGAGGGUGCGAGCGUUAAUCGGAAUUACUGGGCGUAAAGCGCGCGUAGGUGGCUUGAUAAGCCGGUUGUGAAAGCCCCGGGCUCAACCUGGGAACGGCAUCCGGAACUGUCAAGCUAGAGUGCAGGAGAGGAGGGUAGACUUCCCGGUGUAGCGGUGAAAUGCGUAGAGAUCGGGAGGAAUACCAGUGGCGAAGGCGGCCUUCUGGACUGACACUGACACUGAGGUGCGAAAGCGUGGGUAGCAAACAGGAUUAGAUACCCGGGUAGUC